ACAUCGAUACCGCAACGGUUAGCAUGCUUGCCUGACAUUCGUGUGACAGGCUGUUUGUGAGAUCAAGCGGCAAGGGUUCGACUUCCCUUCGGUGUA